rnacentral:lncRNA from 1 species
CUGGGGUCCCAGGGCAGGGCACAGCCCAGCUGGCUGCCGAGUGAUGGCGCUGCCUUUGAGGGAGGUGAGGGGCAGGGGUUCUAGUCUUGCCGGCUCCCGCUCAGCCUUGACCGCCAGGAAAGCAGCCAGGUCCAGGUCUAGCAUGGCCACCCCUCCGCGAGGCGUGGGCGUGCUCUGACGGCACUGCGGACAGGGGAUCCAGCGCUGCUCGGGCGCCGGUGUGUCCAGCCGCCGCACACACGCCUGGCAGAAGCAUCCUGCCAGAGGGAAGCCAGCGGUGGACAGCCUGCCUCGAGGACCUUCCGCCUGGAUGGGGUGCUGGCCCCAGGAGCCCACCCCAGAGGUCAGGCGCUGGGUCUGUGGGGGUGGUGCGUGCAGACCUGGGAGGGAGCGUGGCACCGGGCACAGGCAGAACCAGGGUCUGCACACUUCUGGUUCAUGUGGGCACCAGCCGGGCAGCCUCCUGUUCCCGCAGCACCACCCUGG